GACGAACGCUGGCGGCGUGCUUAACACAUGCAAGUCGAACGGUGAAGGGACCAGCUUGCUGGUUCUGGAUGAGUGGCGAACGGGUGAGUAACACGUGAGUAACCUGCCCCCUUCUUCUGGAUAACCGCAUGAAAGUGUGGCUAAUACGGGAUAUUCUGGGUCUGUCGCAUGGCGGGCCCGGGAAAGAUAUUGCUUCGGUGGGGGAUGGGCUCGCGGCCUAUCAGCUUGUUGGUGGGGUGAUGGCCUACCAAGGCGGUGACGGGUAGCCGGCCUGCGAGGGUGGACGGUCACACUGGGACUGAGACACGGCCCAGACUCCUACGGGAGGCAGCAGUGGGGAAUAUUGCACAAUGGGCGCAAGCCUGAUGCAGCGACGCCGCGUGAGGGAUGGAGGCCUUCGGGUUGUAAACCUCUUUCGCCAGUGAAGCAGGCCUGCUCCUUGUGGGUGGGUUGACGGUAGCUGGAGAAGAAGCGCCGGCUAACUACGUG
rnacentral:rRNA from 1 species